rnacentral:tRNA from 1 species
GGUGCCAUAGCUCAGUUGGUAGAGCAAAGGACUGAAAAUCCUUGCGUCGCUGGUUCGAUUCCAGCUGGCACCA